ACCUGGGUGGCUCAGUUGGUUGAGCAUGUGACUCUUGAUUUCAGCUCAUGUCAUGAUCUCACAGUUCGUGGGUUCGAGCCCCAUGUCAGGCA
rnacentral:tRNA from 1 species